rnacentral:lncRNA from 1 species
GGCCAAUACUUUCAUGGGGAAGCUUUCCAUGGCUAAGGAAAUGAUAACCCCACCGUAACUAUUACCCACUAGUAUCACUUUCUCGUCUUGAGGCAAAGAGGCCAUUAAUGCCAUCAAUGGCUCCGCAUAAUCGGACAAGGAAGCCAAGUCAGUGAUGGUCUUGGGGUUGAUUCCACUGGCACCAAGAUCCAAGGGAGUAACACGGUGACCGCCUGAUUUGAGCAGCGACACAAUCUUGUACCAACACCAAGCUCCAUGACACAUACCAUGAACUAGAACGAAGUGUGUCAUAGUUUCCCUUUCCUCUUUCUUUUCUAUCUCAAUAUUUCCUGUUAGCUGCUUCAAUUAUUUGCAAGGGAGCUUUAUCUAAUGCUGGUCAACCUGUUGAACAGGCUGCUCAAUAUUAAAAUGAUUUCUUCAACUUUUGAUGAUGAGUUAACCCAAGCAAUGAAACCCAAAUGAAACAAAAUUGCAAUAAAAUAUCUGCUAUUAGGACCUACCCACUUUCUUAACAGGUUGUCUUACCUGAUGAAUUAGAACAAAAUGUUUCAUGGUUAUUAGCCGCUCCAAUUAUUUGCAAGGGAGCUUUAUCUAAUGUCGGCUAGCUUCGUGCCAUCUCAAAUCAAUAGGUUGAACCAAAAAUCAGUGAUUUGUUAACCUUGAUUAACAUGGUUAAAAAAAUUGCUAUUAUUGGAUGUUUGACUAGGUCGUACUGCUUCUCUUUCUUGUUUUUGCUAUUAUUGGAUGUGCUUGCUUUGUGUGACCUUUCUUCACUUACCCUUUUUUCUACUUUCUUUAGAAAUGUGAUUGAUAUAUUAUUAUUUAUAAAUUUAUAGAUAAUUCUUUUUUGUAUAAGUGACUCUAUAUAUUCCUCCAAUGUCAUGAUGACCUAUAGGAAAAAUGAUUAAUUGUGAUAUCAAAAUCUUAAAAAUUUAACAAUUUUUUAUACUUUUUUGAACACUUGCAUACAAUUUUGAGUUGUUGAUGAUGAUUUUUUAAAUUUUAUUGUUGGAUCGUAGAUUUUAUUUUUUGAAAUUUUACUGUAUUUUUAUUGAAUUAAACUUCAAAAUUAUUAUUUUCAGUGAUUACAUAAUUCAGAUCAUGUUUGGGUGGUGAACACACUAACUAUUAAGCUAACACACGGAGUAAAUUAUCAAGAUAAAUUCUUUAAUUAUCAAUUAUAUUGGUGAGCAACUUCUUGGAGGCAUUUGCAGAGCUCAUGAGGCUUGGAGAACAUGGGCAUAUGAUCCGCACCAGCUAUGAAUUUCACAUCCUCUGUUGGGCUGUUUUCAAUGUACCAUUUCUGCAUACUUUCUUCCACCAACAAAUCAUCUUUGCAAACUAUAUAAACCCGAUGGAUGGAUCCGAAUUUCUCUUUGCUUAGCAGCGAUUCGUUUGCUAAAUCUUUGAGGAAUAAUUUUCCUUGUCUCAUCAACGUCAAACCCAAUUCUAUAUCCUACAAAUUCCAACAAAACAUCACCACUCAACAACCAAUCAUUUAUGCAGAUCAAACUGGUUUUUCUUUUAAUGACAUUAGGAUCACAAGAACUCCGUUUAGUUUGAUUUUGACAAUAUACAAUUUCUUUCUAAAAAAAAGUUAAAAUUAAUACCAUAAAAUUUGAACUUUGAAAAAUAAAGGGUAAAUUACAUAUAAACUAUUUUAAAUUUAUAUUUUGAUAAUUCAAUUUCAAAAAAUUAGAAAACCAUCAUUGAACUCGUUUUAAGUCAAAUAAAACUUUCAAAUAUAAAAAUAAAAUCAAGCUAAAUGCACAAUUUUCUGAGAGGCUAAACUGACCGCUUUUGGUGAGAGGUGGUAAACCUUUGUCUCCGUGUAUUUUGGUCCAAAUAAGGCGCGAGUUGGUGGACUUUCUGAUCCAUCAUCAAAACAUACCUGGAAAUCCAAGAGCGGCUCCGCCAUAAUACGUUUCAAGAGCUUCCACAAAACAUUUAAUCCAAGUUUAAACCCCCGAUAAAAAGAUAACUAAAACACAACAUACAAACACACAGUGUUGAUAUAUUUACCUCCAUUAAUCCGGUUGCAAUAGGAUAAUCAUGAUUCGGCAUCAAAGCUGCCACAUAAACAGCGGCCAAUACUUUCUUGGGGAAGCUUUCCAUGGCUAAAGAAAUGAAAACCCCUCCAUAACUAUGACCCACUAAUAUCACCUUCUCGUCUUCAGGCAAAGAGGCCAUUAAUUCCAUCAAUGGCUCCGCAUAAUCGGACAAGGAAGCCAGGUCAGUGAUGGUCUUGGGAUUGAUUCCACAGGCACCAAGAUCCAAGGGAGUGACACGGUGGCCGCCUGAUUUGAGCAGCGACACAAUCUUGUACCAACACCAAGCUCCAUGACACAUACCAUGAACUAGAACGAA